rnacentral:rRNA from 1 species
AUGAAUGCAAAGCUUGAGGCACCCUUCACUGAUGAGGAGAUUAGGACCGCCCUUUUCCAAAUGGGGCCAACAAAGGCGCCGGGGCCGGAUGGCCUACCGGCUAUGUUCUACCAACAGCAUUGGGAGUUGGUUAAAGAUGAUGUGUGUGGCGCAGUACGAGAAUUCUUGGCGGGGAAAGCACCUCCGAACGGAUUUUCGGCCUUGCUCAAGAAAGCGCAGGAGGAGAGGAAGAUCAAGGGGCCGUCUUUUGGAAGCAGAGGGACAACAGUGACACAUCUUCUGUUUGCGGAUGAUAGUGUAGUUUUUGUAGAAGGCUCUCGGGAAAACUUUGAGUCAUUACGUGCUAUUUUGGAGGAAUAUGAGCUUGCAUCGGGGCAAAAAGUGAACCUACAGAAAUCUGCGAUUUUCUUUGGGAAGGAUACACCGGAGAGCACUAAGGAUGAACUCAAGCAAGCCCUGGACAUUGCAGAAGAGGCUCUAAGCGAGAGAUACUUGGGGCUCCCUACGAUGGUGGGGAGAUCAAAGGAUGGGACUUUCAAAUUUGUCAAGGAGAGUGCAAGAGGGAAAGUAUCAGGAUGGAAAGGACAAGGAUUAUCAAAGACUGCGAGGGAGGUGCUAGUAAAGUCCAGCCUCCAAUCAACACCUACUUUUGCCAUGAGCUGCUUCUAA